rnacentral:rRNA from 1 species
CCUACGGGAGACAGCAGUGAGGAAUAUUGGUCAAUGGACGAGAGUCUGAACCAGCCAAGCAGCGUGAAGGAUGACUGCCCUAUGGGUUGUAAACUUCUUUUAUAUGGGACUAAACUGUUCCACGUUUGGGUUUUUGUAUGUCCCAUCUGAUUACGGAUCGGCUAACUCCGUGCCCGCAGCCGCGGUAAUACGGAGAAUCCGAGCGUUUUCCGGAUUUAUUGGGUUUAACGGGAGCGUAGGUGGAAUGUUAAUGAAGGUGUGAAAGCUCGCGGGUCAAACGGACAAUUGCAGUUGAUACUGGCAGUCUGGAGGACGGAAGAGGUGGGCGGAAUGCGUGGUGUAGCGUUGAAAUGCUUAGAUAUCACGAAGAAAGCCGAUUGCGAAGGCAGCUCACGGAACUGCAACUGACACUGAGGCACGAAAGUGUGGGUAUCAAACAGGAUGAGAUACCCGGGUAGUC